rnacentral:misc_RNA from 1 species
GAAAACUAAAUGUAAGCAAUUUAAGCAAACACAUCAUGAAGGAAACAAUACACAGAAAGACUGAUACUACAGCCAAAUAAAUGAUAAAGUGUCCAAACAGAAGCAAAUAGAAAGCCAUUGCGAAAGAUCUCACACACACACAUACACAUAUAUAACUGAAGAUCCCAUGAAUAUGAACAAUAAGAAUGGCAAUUCAGGGGCCCUCACAUCUCGAGCUGCAGCCAAGCACAAAUUAUAGGCCCAUUGGCCUAGGCCAAGCCAAACCAAACAUAAGGAGGCAUUGAAUAUCUUGCAAAUAUGGGCAAAAGUUGUCAUUUGUUGAUCAAGUUUUAAUAUCAAGAUAACUAUUUAUUCAAUAGAUAGCACAAAAAAUUGCCCUAGAUGCAACACAUCCAUUAUUCCAACUAGUUAAGUUUGUCAAAGUUAGGAAUUGCACUAGUGAAUACCUCCCUGUCUCCAUUCAAUUCAAGAAUUGAGACA